ACAAGCAAGAUAACCAAGUGAAUAGUAUGUCUACUGAAACCAAGGACCACCUUUUCUCUCGAUGAAGAAUCAAGAUUCAUUGAAUUCGUAGGUAGUGACUGGUCCCUGUCAUUCCCUUGUAUUUAUAGAAAACAUGUUGCACUCGUCUCUAUUAUUUUCAAUUUCUUGUUCUGAAAUUAAACACAACUUCUGAGUAGACUAGUCUCCGAAAGAAGAGCACCAAAAUAUAAACGAUCGCAUGAAGAAUAUAAAGCGCAGCCUGCUUCACGGUGCCUCUCUUGAUUGCAUUGGUCUCUUUGCUUUUCGCCUUCGCCUUCUCUUUGGCGAUGAUGAAUGAGAGGCUUUCAUGAAAGGGAUUUGCAUGCUUGUAGCUGCAAAUAUCACGCCUGGGAUAGGGGGAAGAUCCCAAGGUCAGUGACGUUUACAGGUUUGUAAAUACACUUCUGUUUAUAGAUUCGGGGCCGGAGUUUAUCACGCUCUUGUUUUAGGAAAGCUAACAGACGCGGCAAUUCUAGGACCCAUCUUCUAGCUGGAAAGAGUGGAAAAAGGGGGCCUGAUCUAAUAAGACAAACACAGUGUUUGAUUGGAUUGUUUGACUAGAUUACAAAUAUGUCACAAAAUUCAGCAGGAACCCAGGCAUGUAGGUCCACGCACCUGAUUUGUCGGUAAUCAUACUAGUUAAUUACCACUGACUACAUUACAGAAGAUCAUGGGCCAAUCUGGAUGGCUGUAAAUACUUUUUGUGAGAGGGGUCAACUCUCAAAAUGCCUGAAGCUAAUCGGUACAGCAAAUGUGGUUCAUAUUCUAUCCCAGACGGGCACUAUGCACAAAAAGUACCCUUCACUGUGUCACGAGAGGCAUUUGCACCCCGGUACAAACUACCUAAUUUAUUCCUUCUUCGCUGCUGCUUAUCAUCUGCUACAAAAAGUACCAUUCCCUGUGUCACGGGAGGCAUUUUCACCCCAGUACAAACAACCUAAUUUAUGCUUCCCUGCUUGUCAUCUGUUUUAUAACCAGUACCAAUAUUUCUUAAAUACAAAGGUGCCUGAGCCAUUACCGCCAAUUUAAUUUGUUGGACUGGUGUAGUGUUGACGAACCAGACUAGCUCGUGGCGUUCAAAAAUCCGUCUAAGGCACCAUAAAUACAACGCAACAAGCACGACGUGUUCGAUCGAAGGAUGGAUGCCAAGUGGAAACACAAGCAUUGUUUUGAAACUCGAUUUAUUAUGGAGUUAUGUCUUGAAUUA